rnacentral:piRNA from 1 species
UGGGCUAUGUUUUGAGGUUUUGAUUGA